UACGUAGGGGGCAAGCGUUGUCCGGAUUUAUUGGGCGUAAAGCGCGUGUAGGCGGCUUGGUAGGUCCGCUGUGAAAACUCGAGGCUCAACCUCGAGCUGUCGGUGGAAACCACCUUGCUAGAGUCCGGAAGAGGAGAGUGGAAUUCCUGGUGUAGCGGUGAAAUGCGCAGAUAUCAGGAGGAACACCGAUGGCGAAGGCAGGUCUCUGGGCCACUACUGACGCUGAGAAGCGAAAGCAUGGGGAGCGAACAGG
rnacentral:rRNA from 1 species